rnacentral:tRNA from 1 species
GGCCUCGUAGCUCAGCUGGUACAAAGCGUAGGCGGCAUCCAUGCGUGGGUUCGAAUCCCACCGAGGCUA